rnacentral:rRNA from 1 species
GUGCCAGCAGCCGCGGUAAUACGGGGGGGGCAAGCGUUGUUCGGAAUUACUGGGCGUAAAGGGCUCGUAGGCGGCCAACUAAGUCAGACGUGAAAUCCCCCGGCUUAACCAGGGAACUGCGUCUGAUACUGGAUGGCUUGAGUUUGGGAGAGGGAUGCGGAAUUCCAGGUGUAGCGGUGAAAUGCGUAGAUAUCUGGAGGAACACCGGUGGCGAAGGCGACAUCCUGGACCAACACUGACGCUGAGUGAGCGAAAGCCAGGGGAGCAAACGGGAUUAGAAACCCUCGUAGUCC